UUCGUAGGCGGCGCGUUAAGUCGGGUGUGAAAUCCCUCGGCCCAACCGAGGAAUUGCGCUCGAAACUGGCGUGCUUGAGUAAGAUAGAGGUGAGCGGAACUGAUGGUGGAGCGGUGAAAUGCGUUGAUAUCAUCAGGAACACCGGUGGCGAAAGCGGCUCACUGGGUCUUUACUGACGCUGAGGAACGAAAGCUAGGGGAGCGAACG
rnacentral:rRNA from 1 species